GAUGAACGCUGACAGAAUGCUUAACACAUGCAAGUCAACUUGAACUUCGGUUUGGGUGGCGGACGGGUGAGUAACGCGUAAAGAACUUGCCUCACAGUUAGGGACAACAUUUGGAAACGAAUGCUAAUACCUGAUAUUAUGAUUUUAGGGCAUCCUAGAAUUAUGAAAGCUAUAUGCGCUGUGAGAGAGCUUUGCGUCCCAUUAGCUAGUUGGAGAGGUAACGGCUCACCAAGGCGAUGAUGGGUAGCCGGCCUGAGAGGGUGAACGGCCACAAGGGGACUGAGACACGGCCCUUACUCCUACGGAAGGCAGCAGUGGGGAAUAUUGGACAAUGGACCAAGAGUCUGAUCCAGCAAUUCUGUGUGCACGAUGAAGUUUUUCGGAAUGUAAAGUGCUUUCAGUUGGGAAGAAAAAAAUGACGAUACCAACAGAAGAAGUGACGGCUAAAUACGUG
rnacentral:rRNA from 1 species